GGGUUUACCAUUUCAAGAGAAACAUGUAAUGCAGCAGGCCUCUAUUCUAGGGAAUCUAGAAGAAUUUGGGGUUCUGAAAAGUUGUAAGGAUGAUGCUGUAUCAGGGCCAGUUAAGUUAGAAGCAUCCGGGGACGACGAUGAUGUUCCCGCCGUUGUUGAAUUCGGAGCAGGAAGAGGGUACUUGACACAAGUUCUGGCUGACUGUUACAGAAUUAAGAAGAUUUUAUUAGUUGAACGCAAAUCAUACAAGCUCAAGGCUGAUCGAAGUUUGCGACAGAAAGAGAGUGUUACGCUGGAGCGAUUGAGAAUUGACAUUGAGGACCUAAAGUUGAAUUCUGUUGAGAGUUUACAGGGAGUUCCUUAUCUAGCAAUUGGC
rnacentral:misc_RNA from 1 species